UACGGAGGGUGCGAGCGUUACCCGGAUUUACUGGGUGUAAAGGGCGUGUAGGCGGUCUCUCAAGUCCGAUGCUAAAGACCGAAGCUCAACUUCGGGGGUGCGUUGGAUACUGUGAGGCUAGACGGUCGGAGAGGGUAGCGGAAUUUCCGAAGUAGCGGUGAAAUGCGCAGAUACCGGAAGGAACGCCAAUAGCGAAAGCAGCUACCUGGACGAUUUGUGACGCUGAGGCGCGAAAGCGUGGGGAGCAAACCGGAUUAGAUACCCGGGUAGUCCACGCCCUAAACGAUGAGUGCUGGGUGUCCGACAUCUGUUGGGUGCCGUAGCUAACGCGUUAAGCACUCCACCUGGGAAGUACGGUCGCAAGACUGAAACUCGAAGGAAUUGACGGGGGCCCGCACAAGCGGUGGAGCAUGUGGUUUAAUUCGAAGCAACGCGCAGAACCUUACCAGGUCUUGACAUCCACGGAACCCUGGUGAAAGCCGGGGGUGCCCGCAAGGGAGCCGUGAGACAGGUGCUGCAUGGUCGUCGUCAGCUCGUGUCGUGAGAUGUUGGGUUAAGUCCCGCAACGAGCGCAACCCUUGUUGCUAGUUGCCAUCAGUUCGGCUGGGCACUCUAGCGAGACUGCCUACGAAAGUAGGAGGAAGGCGGGGAUGACGUCUGAUCCGCAUGGCCCUUACGACCUGGGCGACACACGUGCUACAAUGCCUGCCACAAAGCGCUGCGACCCGGCAACGGGAAGCCAAUCGCAUAAAAGCAGGCUCAGUUCGGAUUGGGGUCUGCAACUCGACCCCAUGAAGCUGGAAUCGCUAGUAAUCGCGGAUCAGCCAUGCCGCGGUGAAUACGUUCCCGGGCC
rnacentral:rRNA from 1 species